UUGAGGUAUGUCUUACUGGUUUUUAAUCUUAUUUUUCAAAUUACAUACCAUCUCUGUGGAAAAUCAGAGCAGCGUUUGGGGAGAUAUCUCAGACCAGCUUACCAAGCAGCAGCAGUGCUCACUGGACUGGACACCAGCAUGGAGCUCUGAAGUCCUGGUUGUCAACUGUCAUCAGCCCAGGCACAUAGAGCAGCUUUGGAUAAGUGCUUUCACCUCUCUGUUUACGGAAUCUCUGCAUAUUUGGCAUGGAUUUUCAAAGCUUCUGUAAAUUAAGAGUUAAGUAUGUUUUGAUAGAACCUGAUAUAAUGUGGCUCUUAUUUCAUUUGAGCUUACCAGAGUAUGAAGAAAUGAAGAGUCCUACAUUUCAGAGUUGAAAUCAGAAGUACAACUGCCAAUCCUUAUUUAUGCCUAUGCACUUUCUUCUUAACUAUUCUUUCUUUAAGACGUAAUCAAAAUUAUCUCUUGUUGUACAGAAAAUUAACCAACCAAAUAACCCUUGCUUCUUUCAACUGAGGAAGGUACAAAACAAAGUGAUGUAUCUUGAAACAAUUAAUCAAAUGCAGUUCAUUAUUCUUACAAGAGCACAAUGACAUACUUCCAGGUUUGGAGAUUAUUUACUUUCUGAAAUAUGUUUUAGGAACUUAUUAUGGUCGUAGUCACAAUUGGCCUCAGAGAAGGACAUGGACUUGGAGCUCGUUCAGAGUAAUUUAAUUAAUCUUAUUCAAAAAAGCAACAGCCAACCAUUACGACCCAAGUCAAUACUAAAAUGAUUUCCCAAAACUCAUUACAAAGUCACUUUCAGGAAACAACUGGUAGUUCCAGAACUCAGAGGCUACACUAUAAAUUUAAUUUUCUUUAAAGUCUGUAAACGAGCAUUUAAAAAAAAAAAAAUGGUGUAUUUCCAUUUCCCUUAAAUAAAGUAUAGUGCCUUGGGAGGCAUGUCUUCUUUUUUUGUCUAAAUCCUCAUUUUUUUAAGAAGUUAAUAUACUUGGUAUGUUUGUUACCACAUCACAGUGCCUAGAAAUACAAACAAAAAACUAAUUUUACUUCACGAAAAUAAACAUGCAGCAUAAAUCUAAUCUGCCUGCCUGCCUACCAGAUGGAGAAAAGAACAGGGCCAAGUCACUGACAGAGUAACAGUUUAAUCACAUCAGCUUGAUGUUGACUUACUUAUAAAUACAAACAAGUCCACUUGCACCCUUGGGAACUCACCAUGUUUUCUCCCAAUUUUUGAAAAUAAAUGCAAAUUAAUUCUUUAUUCACUGUUCAGAUCACUGCAGAGGAAAUACCCCAUUUAUUACCGGUGGUUCAUUUGGAUACCUGUAUCAUGAUCCAUCAGGAGAUAAAUUGCUCCGUUUCAUAAACUGAGUCAGCCUCCAGUAGAGCCCAAGGGAGAACUGGUGCUUGCCUCUUAUGAAUUUGCAGAGCAGAACACAAAGGAGGAAAAUAUGAAACAUGUUCCCUCUUGCAGUCCUCAGGAUGAGGGUGUUGGAGGUGUUUGCAGCACAACCAGUUGAAGCCGACUGGCGCCAAGCCCUGACAAGCUCCCUCUCUAAUAAAAUGUGUUUCUCUCAAUAUAAAAAUCUAAUCGGUGGAACUUGCUUGAUACAUUCCAAAUGUAAAGCAUGCUAAACAUCCCAGACACUGACUGGUUGGAAAGGAUCGUUAUUCACAGACUCCUAAUCAAAGCUUCAUUUCGUGUCAUCAUUUAUUUGGUUCUACAUGUUUUCUGUUUGCUUGAAUGAAAGUGUCUGGUGUUGGAAAUUGUCACAGUAAGCUCAGAGAAACCAAGCAAUGAGUUGUGCUGCAUUCAGAAAUGCCCAGGCACAGUGUGUUGAGUUUGGAUUUCUGCGUGCUGCUUUUUGUGCUUUACUGUUGUUAAUUUUUGCUUGUAAAAAUCUACAAUGUUUGCUAGGUUAUAAAAUACUGAUUUAUUUUGGUGAUUUACUUUGCAGCAAAUUGAGGCUAUAUGAAAGCUGAAAACAGCUUCACUUAAGCUAAUUAUGAUGGUGGCUAUAAUGACUCAGAUAAUUGUACUUGUUUGACAUGUACACUGUAAGUCAGAAAUAAACCCCUCUUCUGCUACACAUCCUCUCUAUGGAGAGUAAAUGUAAUUUAAACCUUGUUAAGAGCUGCCACUUCUCUGCUUACGAAAGCUGUAAGGUGAUAUGUGCGUGAGUCAAUGCCUUGGAAAUCAAAGAAUCAACAAGAUUGUAGGGGUUGGAAGGGACCUCAAGAGGUCAUCAAGUCCAACCCCCCUGCUAAAGCAGAUCCCCUAGAACAGGAUGUACAGGUAGGCAUCCAAACAGAUCUUGAAUAGGUCCAUGGAAGGAGACUCUACAACCUCUCUGUGCAACCUGUUCCAGUGCUCUGUCACCCUUAUUGUAAAGUUCUUCCACAUGUUUAUAUGGAACUUUUUGUGUUCAUGUUUUAGGCCAUUACAAGUGUUUUGGGCAAUCCUAGCUUGCUUAUAAGGGAUUUAAACCAGUAAAUGGGAACACCAUCACAUCCUGCGUUUUUCCACAGAAAGUCAAAACAAAAUUAGUAGUAUUUGUCAUAAUAAAACACUGACUGAAUUAUUUUCCUUUUUCUAUACCUGUUGAAGCCAUGGAUGCUCCUAGCAAAACCUGCUUCUGAAGAGACAAGCAUCUGAGCAGAAUAUCUGGAAGUCUGACUCCAGUCUUGCAGUGUGGCAUGGAAUAUAGACAGCAGUCACAGACCUGACCUAUGCCUCAAUUCAGGCUACGUUCAUGUCUUGCAGCUUCAAGGCUGUUCUCGUGGCUUUCCCAGAGAGAGAAUUUGACUCCUGGCAUGCACUGUCUGGAGAUGAAAGUACGCUGGUGCUUAUUUUUAUCUCAGGAUCAAAUGAUGAGCGGUCACAUCUGGAGCAGAAUGCAGAAGAUCUGAAUAGAAGCCCAAGUUCUGUCACAGAUGCACAACAGAUUUUGGCAAGAUAGCUCCUGAUGUAAAUAUAUUCUGGCUAACUUUCAAGCUAACCAGGUGGGAUACCUAUAGAUGGAAGUCCUUGGGUAGGAUUCCCAGUCCCCAGCCUUCUGUACUUUUAAAUCUGUGCUGCUCAUGGUAUCCAGCCUCGUCAGCUCCAAAACUAGGCAAAAUGAGCCAGAAUCAUGGCAUCUGCAAUUUCAUAUUCCUGCAUUCUAGACAGACCACGUGGGUGAGCUCUGGGAGCCAGAGACCUCAAAGUGCCAGAGAGCAACCAUGGCUCUUGGUGUUUCCUAUGAAACUGAGGACUUGAAAUCCCCAGCUUUAACCUCAAUACAGAUCCUUCCACCUUAAGCCCUUUCCUAGUGCAAUCAAUAUUCUGGUCAGCUCUACCACUAAGAAAAACAGCUGCAGCAUGCAGGGGAACAUAUUUUGUUUUCCCAGGUCCCUGCGCUGAUGUUUCUCAAAUGAAAUUUUCUCUGACGUUCAGGCAUAAAAUCUUGAAAUUAAAAUGAAAUGUAAUUGCUAAUGAAUGGAAAGCAUUACUUUCUGGCCAGCUCUAUUUGUACAUACAAAAUGUACUAGACACCUCAAAGUUUCUUUCAUGCCAUCUCAGAUUAUUUUCUUUUAUUGUUUUACCAAGAUCUCCAAAGCCAGCUGCUUAGGGGUUUUCACUGCCCGAAUUCCCACGCGUUAUUCCAUUUGACGCUCAGAUCCCUUGAGCAGCACUGAAAAAUUACUAAGCCUUAAUAACUGCAAGAAUUCCAAACAAUAGCUACAACGAAGGAACUGGUCCUGGCACUAAAAACCCAUGAAUAUGUAAGACAAAUUGUAUCUGGAGAGAUAACGGGCGACCAGAAUCGUCUUUCAAAAGAUAUACAAUGUAAGCUGCAUACUCCUCAACAGCUCAAGGGGCUCACAGUCAAUAAAUUUAACAGGCUGCAACCUAAAAAGUCAAAGCUAAAGUACAGUAUGUGAAUACAAGCUAGACUGGACUCUUCUGUUCUACCUUAGGACACUGUUAAUAGAGGGAAAAUGACAAAAUACAUAAAAAGGAAUACACGGGAUUUGACAGAGUAUGGUUUUUUUUUCCUUUUAACUUCAAGGCAAACUAUCAGACUAUUUUGGUUUACAAAUAAAUCAAACAAAGAACUUUUAUCAUUUGCAUAAAAGUCCCAUUUUCAGCACUAGAAAGAUUAAGCUUCAGAGCCUUUAUCUGUGUGUGUAUGUGAGGGAUUACAAAGGAAGUUGUGUAAAUAAUGACCUUGCUGAAAACAGAUUAGCUUCAAUGAUUAUAUAGUAAAAUAGUAACAUUUUCUUCACUUGCGGAUUAAAAUAUCAAUUGACAGUUUCCAUAAACAAGUAAAGCUCAUGGUUAUUCAGAAUAAUAGGAUAAUGACAGUAGCAGUAUCUGACAGCCCCAUUUCUGCCUCUUGACAUUAUUUAUGGUAUUCUGAUGCUCAGUCUAGGGAGCUGGAUCCUCAGCUUUGCCAGAUGUGUUUGCUGUGGUUUAGUGUUUAUGUGACAAAACAUUUCCUUUAGCAAUUUCCUUUAUUUUACAGUUAUGUGGUCACAUUAAAUACAAAUGUAUUGGACCCAUCAUGUUCUUAUGGUUAUAUUCUUUUAAAGUCAACUUUUCAAGACCUACCCCUACUACUCUCAGGUGACUAAGAGCACAUGCAGGCUGAUUUCUCACUAGCUUACCCCUCAUACUGACAUUUACACUUAGUUUAAAAUGUCGGUCAAAACUGAAACAGCUGGACUAUUCCCACUGAAACUCUGCUUUUCUUUUUUUUCUUUCCUCUUUCUUUACUGUUUCUAAAAGCACUUGUGAGGAUGGAAACAGCAUACAUGGGAUGGAUACGGUGUUGGAUACGGCAGGCCAGGUCUCUGCUCUGACUCAAAAGGGACUCUUAGGACAGAAAAAUCCAGCUUUGAGAGAGGCAGAGCAGAAGGAGGCUCUUGUAGUCCAAGUUAGUAUCUUAAUGCAGAAAGCAACAAGCAAAUAUUUCUUCUCUUUGUGAGCAGGUCAGUGUUUAUGGGCACACUCUAGUUUGCUUGCCAUUCCCAAACAAGAUGGAAACAAAUCAACCAAGAAAUUGUCAGUUAUUUGUCACAGUGCCCAUAAAAUUGUCAGCCUUCAAAAAAUUCUGCUUAACCCGGUGAUAUCAUUUCAAAGUCACGUGCAUCGGUAGCUGCACGUAGUGAAAAACAGGGAAGAAAGCAGCUCAGUUUUCUUACCUCCAUUGUGAAGUCAGUGGAUGAAAGAGUGGAAUCAAUCUGGUUCACAAGAGAAAUGCUCAUAUGUAAGGAACAGCACAGCACAAACUCAUCACAGGAGUCUUGGCUUGCAGCACACCUGGGUUCUUCAUACAAAGCAAAGUGCAGUUCAUCUAGCAUACAUCCUGUCAGAGAAACCAGGGCUUUAAAAUCGCCUAUAAAAAUUAUGCUACACCAGCAAAAUUGGUUUAUGUUUAAUUAUGUUCAAUGGAGAAAGACUUAAAAGCCUGAAAUUCUGACUUCCUAAAUUGUCAAUCAUCUCAAAGCUGCAGUGAAUUACCAUUUUUCUUGAACAAUACCUUCUAUUAAAUUUAUUAAGGUGUAUGACAUAGAGCCUGGGUUUCUGCUUUAAUUUCAUGCCAAUGGAAAGUAAGAUAAGCAGACAAAAGGGGGGGAUUGUGCCAUAGAUUCGAGGUGCUGGAUAUAUUUUUUUUAAAAUUCUAUCACAAAACUUGUUUUAGGUAGAUCUAUGAAAAAUGUUCCCCAGAACUGGUCAAUGCAUCUUCAAAAAGGCUGUUAAUCCUAACCGUGGGUAUUUGUACUCAUGCCAUUUCUUAGCCUGUGUCUGUACAACAGUUUGUGAGUGCUGCGGAACGGGGCUGUAGGCAAACACUAUGUAAAGCAGUCACAUCCAGAAAUGGUAGCAGUCUGUCUUCAGAAGCACAGAGCACAGUUCAAGCUACAAAAUCCAUUCAGAAUGUCGAAAAAAAUCAAGGAGAUUAACUUAUGUUGCACUCAGUGCUGCUCUAGUUGGUUUAAAACCUCAGCCAUAUUUACACUGAAGGGUCAAAAUGGUAGAAACAAACAAAACAAAUGAUCCUCAGCACCUGUGGUACAUGCAGGUAAAUUGGGAAGAAAAAAAAAAAGACCUA